rnacentral:rRNA from 1 species
GACAGCAGCAGCCGCGGGAAUACGGAGGGUGCAAGCGUUAAUCGGAAUUACUGGGCGUAAAGCGCACGCAGGCGGUCUGACAAGUCAGAUGUGAAAUCCCCGGGCUUAACCUGGGAACUGCAUUUGAAACUGUCAGGCUGGAGUCUUGUAGAGGGGGGUGGAAUUCCAGGUGUAGCGGUGAAAUGCGUAGAGAUCUGGAGGAAUACCGGUGGCGAAGGCGGCCCCCUGGACAAAGACUGACGCUCAGGUGCGAAAGCGUGGGGAGCAAACAGGAUUAGAUACCCGAGUAGUCCCUGUCUCUUAUAC